GACGAACGCUGGCGGCGUGCUUCAUACAUGCAAGUCGAGCGAGGAGCUUGCUCCGAGCGGCGAACGGGUGAGUAACACGUGGGCAACCUGCCCUUGGCUCUGGGAUAACUCCGGGAAACCGGGGCUAAUACCGGAUACGACCACCGUGGACAUCCUCUGGUGGUGGAAAGAACUUCGGCCAAGGAUGGGCCCGCGGCCUAUCAGGUAGUUGGUGGGGUAACGGCCUACCAAGCCUACGACGGGUAGCCGGCCUGAGAGGGCGACCGGCCACACUGGGACUGAGACACGGCCCAGACUCCUACGGGAGGCAGCAGUAGGGAAUAUUGCGCAAUGGGCGAAAGCCUGACGCAGCGACGCCGCGUGAGGGACGACGGCCUUCGGGUUGUAAACCUCUUUCAGCAGGGACGAAGCGCAAGUGACGGUACCUGCAGAAGAAGCACCGGCCAACUACGUGCCAGCAGCCGCAGUAAAAC
rnacentral:rRNA from 1 species